GCAUUAUAAAACCUCAUUUCAUAUUCAAUAAUGGUCAGUUGUGUACUCAUAACUUUGAUUGACGCAUCCUCUCGUAUAAGCUCAUCCGUUUGAUCGUGUUGUGAAUCGCUCAAAAUUGCCAAUAUGUAUAAUGUUGUAUUUUACAUUUUUUACCCGGUAGUUUUCAAUUGUGUGGUGGUUACAUGAUAAUUACUAAACAUAUGCUAGAUGCAGGUAUAGUGAAGCCCGAAAAUUCCAGUUACGAACUUUUCAAAGGAGUUAGACACUCUUUCAUGAAACGUGACGUGCAACAACAUAAGGACAUAACGGAAUUUAGCGCAAAUAAUUUGAAUGGAAACACAUCUUCAAGUGAUAUCACUCUAAACGCGAAUGAAAGUUACACUCGACAAGAAAUGUGUUUGGGACUAGUCAAGGAGCUACGAACAAUGACUUAUCUAAGGCUGAGAGUGAAAUAGAUAAAACACCAAAAGUACAAGACGUUUUCAGCACAGCGACGCGGAGGUGUAAAAAACUUGGCCCUGGACAAAACAAUUCAAAAUGUUUGCUAAUUCGAAGUAAAAUUCGAACCUUCGAGCCACUCGAUACAUCUUCGAGAGAGGCCUUAGAGGGAAGAAGCAUUGAAAACUUUUCCAAAAAAUCUGGAAAAGACGCAAGUCAGUUUGCUAUUUUUAACGGGGAGAAAAUCGUACUCAAGCCCGCUUCAAAAAAUCACCAAGACCGUUUCAAUUACUUUUUAGAGCCGCACUACAACAAAGAAAAAACUCAGUUGGAUUCUUCGUCAAACCAGUUUGAUGCUGAGAAGCAGCGGUUUAGAGCUGAGCAAAAUCCAGAUGUUUUUAGCCAAGAGUUCUUUUCAAACCAUCAAACUGAGAACAAUGUCAGGACCAAGAUGACAUCAUCAUCCGACGAGGAAGACGGAAGGCAUUUUUCGGAGCAGGCGAGCUCUGAUGAAAGCGGCGUCAAUGAGCAGCAACUAAACGACACAAUUUGGAAUAACGUACGUGAUAACAUUUUCUCAUCCUUACGGCAACUAUCAUCGAAUAGAACAGAGAGCGCGCCCAACGAGGUUUUUUCGUCGCACGAGCUGUGUAAUUUUCAAGAUUAUAUUUUCUCAUCAAGCCCGAAUUGCACUUUUGGCCAACUGAUAUACAAUCUAGUGGAGGAGUCGUCGUUUGUUCUUCAGAAUCAAAAUUUCUCCGAGCGGAAUCUUCUAGACACGAUGCCAGACACUAAUUUCAUCUCAGGGCGGCGAAAAGCAUCUUUGAAGUACAUCACUUUUCUACUAGGCGUCUUGGUUGUCAAACUUCUGAUUGUAUUACCGCUGGUUAUUUUAACGGCCGGUAAAUCCAUAGCCUUGAGUCUCCUGUCAUUGGGCGUUGCUACCGCUAAUGUAUUUCAAAAUAAAAAUAAUCUACCAUACAUGAAGCGUCGAGACGAGGUUUCACCGUUUGCAUACGACAAAUUUUCUCUCGGACCCCAUAGCUUCAGAUGAUUUGUGUGAUCCAUCCGAUGAAACAUGAAAUAAUUGGUAGACGCUUUAAUAAAGUUCCAACCUCAAAAAGAGUCUUGAUGUAUUUAUUUAGCAAGGGCCCACCUAUGAGAUAUACUUUAGACACUAGGAAAAAUAAGCAUUGAUAUCGACGGUGAAACUGCAGGAAUGCGUAUCCCGUUUUGCGGCGCUGCUAACUUGUCGUCAUAUUUUAUUUUUACAUAAAAUUUACUAAACAUCAUGUUCUGAAAACUGCAGUGAUUUUUCUGCUUUAUGUAAAAAGUAUUCCGUAAAAAUGUCAAACUAUGAUGUUUGUUUGGUACAACGUGAAAAAUAAAAUAGAACAGGAUAUUCUGAAGCACAGAAAUCGAGUUACGCAUUUUCGUAGUUCCAUCGUCGAUAUGUGAGUCAACAACGAUACGUUACAUGUAACAAUAAAAUUCAUAUGUCGCAGGCAAUUAGUAAAAUCAGGCAUUUCAUCAAAUGGGCACAUGGUCAAUUUCUGACUGCUUACGAAAUUUUGUAAAUUUAAGACGAAGAGCUCACGGUUUUUCAAUAUUUUGGAAGGAAUUUAUCAUCAAGGCUGCGAAAUCUCUUUGUUCUUUCCUUCUCAAAUGCUUAUCAUUUAUUUAAACCUUAAAGUUUUAAUCAUUCUUUGUUUAAUGGCACGGUGUAAACUUCAAGGUAAAUGUUCGUUUAGGAACUAAAAAAACGUAAAACACUUUUUUAUGAUCCACAAUCUCAAGGAGAAUUCUUUCUUGUAAUAGC
rnacentral:lncRNA from 1 species